UUCUGAUUUGCUUAUUGAUAUUUGUCGAUCGAUGUACGCAUGACAUCGGCUUGAAAUAAAUGAUAUGUCAUCGGCACCUAGCCGAUCGGCUAUCAUUUAUAGGAUUAAUUGCGGUUUCUUUGUUCUAUUUCUUGUUGAUUGCAGGAUCAAAUCAACUGGCACGCUCAUACACCCGAAGGCGAGUUUUGGACCUGCACUGGAGUUAAGCAGAUCUCCCAGGUCUCGUGUUUUCUGUCAACACGCUUUUGGCACGCCCAGUGGGACAAAUUAGAAGUCAGAAAUCAAUCUUCCUCAUGACCGAGAAGCUACCACCGUCGCCAUCCUCGGCUAGUCCGGGUACUGUUAAAGAGACAAUCCAAAGGUUAGGAUUUAACAAAGUCAAUGAAGGGAAUAUUGUGGCUGUUGAUCCGGAAAAGCUCACACCUGACCAGAAGAAGGAUUUCGAAGCAAUGAUGCAACAAGCACGAGAACAGUUCUUCAGGUCAUUCACACAGACUCGCAAUGGAACAUUUGUUCAAAAGUACAAGGUAAAGGUGAUUCCCGAUGAGCCGGAGACCAGUAUCUCUAAGGAAGGAGAAGAAAAAAGAGUUUUAGAUGGCUCGGCUCAAGAGAAUCAGGGUGACGGCUCUCAGGGGGUACAUGCAGUUCAAGGUGAUGGUGCUUAUGAGCCACAAGGAGGAAAUCUUAAUCAGAAUGGUGAGACAGCACAAGAUUUCUUCAACAAGAUUUCUUCAACAAUUUCCAAGAUCGAGUGGACUACGCCGUACACAACGGUUUGAUCAAUCAAUCUGGAGUGUUAGUCAACACCUUGUCUAACAUGAUGAAGACGAUAGCCGAUGGGUCAAUAGCCGAGCAUCAAGCUGCAGGCCCGGUCUACUUGCCGAGAGGUGUUUUUCCGAAUUAUCGAUCUUUGAUUACUGAUGUUCAGCCGCUUGCUCAGGCAGUUCUUCCAGGUGCACUAUCGGCUCAGCCGAUGGCAUCGCCAUUGACUUCUUUGCCUGCUCCAUCAGCGUCGACACCAGGUCAGCCGAUUAAUCCUCGGCUAUUGAUGAGGGAGUAGCCACAGCAUAGCGGGCAGACGGUAAAUCGGCCAGCACAGGAUCAGGUGGCUGCUAUGUUUCCGCCCCUCCAAUCUACUGUCAAUUCGAUUCAACAGACUCCACUAAGGCAAUAGGUUGUACCGCCAGUUCAGCCAACAGCUCCAGGACAACAAACUAUACAGCCGAUUCCGCAGCAAGCCUUGAUGAAUCAAUCGGCUGGGCAAUCGGCUGGACACGCCCUGAAUCAGGUUGUUCCAGAGCAUUUGGUUCACCAUAUACAGCCAGAUGGUACGAUGAUGCCUCAAAUUGUGCCGGAGCACUUGGUGCAAAGUAUUCAGCCAAAUUACCAGAAUUACCAAGGGGGCAAUAUAAAUUAUCAAUAUCAGCCUCCUUCCCCUCAAGUUCAGUAUCAGCAAGGAGGGCUAACCCAACCCCAGUUUGCUUCUCAAUAUAAUUAGUUUGAACCAAUACAGCAACAAUCGCAAGGAGCAGUUCAACAACGACCAUGGGCCGAUGUAAUUGCCGAUGUGAUGAGAGAACAAUUUGGGCUUAAGCCGAGAGAUACUGGAAAAUUGUAUCGGCAACCUUACCCUGAGUGGUUUGAGAAAGUCCCUCUUCCCAACCGAUUUAAGAGUCCAGACUUCUCCAAAUUUUCGGGACAGGAUGGUGUGUCAACUUAUGAACACAUUAGUCGAUUUUUAGCUCAGUGCGGCGAAGCAUCGGCUGUAGACGCUCUCAGAGUCAGAUUAUUCCGAUUGUCCUUGUCUGGAUCGGCUUUUACAUGGUUUUCUUCUUUGCCGUAUGGAUCAGUCAAUAGUUGGGCUGAUUUGGAGAAGCAGUUUCAUAGCUAUUUCUACAGUGGAGUUCAUGAGAUGAAGUUAUCCGACUUAACGGCAAUUAAGCAAAGGCAUGAUGAACCUGUUCAUGAGUAUAUUCAGAGGUUCAGGGAGAUGAGGAACAAGUGCUUUAGCUUAAGUUUGACUGAUGCCCAGUUAGCCGAUUUGGCUUUUCAAGGCAUGAUUCCUCCGAUUAGGGAGAAAUUCUCAUAUGAAGAUUUUGAUAGCCUGUCGCAUCUCGUGCAGAAGGUAAUAUUGCAUGAACAGAGGUCUGCAGAGGCUAGGAGAAGCUCUAAGAGGGUUAAUCAUGUCUGCCCUUACAUGUAUGGAUCGGAUGAUGACGACGAUGACUCCGAAAUAGCUGCAGUCGAAUGGGUAAGGAGUAAAAAGGUUAUACCUUGUCAGUGGGUAAGGAAUUCUGGAAAAGAGGAGAGAUAUGAUUUUGAUAUUACCAAAGCUGACAAGAUUUUUGAUCUGCUACUCCGGGAGAAGCAAAUUCAACUCCCCGCUGGUCAUGUAAUUCCAUCGGCUGAGGAACUAGGCAAAAGGAGGUAUUGCAAAUGGCAUAAUUCUGGAUCUCAUUCUACUAAUGAUUGCAAGGUCUUUAGACAGCAGAUUCAAGUAGCCAUUGAAGGGGGGAAGAUUAAGUUUGAUGAUUCCAAAAAGCCGAUGAAGGUCGAUGGUAAUCCUUUCCCCAUUAACAUGGUGCAUACCGUUGGUCGGACAGCCGAUGUGGGACGAGCGAGAGGUUUUCGCGUGAAUUCGGCUAAAAUUAUAAAUAAGUAUCAGAGGAAAUGCGACAAACAACAAGAGAGGCAUUAUGAAGAAGAUAAUGAUGGUUUCGAUCCUCAUUGGAAUUGUGAGUUCUUUCGGUUCUGCUGGAACGAAGGAAUUAGGUUACCAUCUAUUGAAGACUGUCCUGGGUGCAGUAAUAUUACAGAGAGUUCAAGCCGAUUGUACAAAAGAGGCAAUUGGCUGAAGCAAGCCAGAGUUCCCGUUCAUCAAAGGUUGGGCCCGGUAAAUCAAAAUGAUUACUUGGAGGGAGACGAGAACGCGAAGACUCAGUGGUGUCCUUCUGGUAUUUUUACAAAGAAUCAGAAAAGAAGGGUUCAAAGGUUGAGGAGCAGGGAGCGCUUUCAGGAGGUCGAACAAGAAAUUGGUCAUCGGCUGAGGAAAGCAAAGCCAAGGAAGGAGUGGCAUGUUAAGAAUCAAGUUCUUGGAGCCGAUGAUAUUGCAGCCGACGAAGCUAAGAGGUUGGCAAAAGGGAAAAGUAUUGUAACAACGCCAAUUAACAUGGUCUUUACUUUGCCAGCCGAAUUCGGGAUUGAUCAGGCCGAUGUUGACGAACUGGAAGAGGAAUCGGCCAAGUUGGUUCUAUCACCAGAACGAGCAGUCUUUGAAAAGCCUGAGGGGACAGAAAAUCGGCAUCUUAAACCAUUGUAUAUAAAUGGCUAUGUCAAUGGGAAGCCGAUGUCUAAGAUGAUGGUCGAUGGUGGGGCUGCGGUAAAUUUGAUGCCUUAUACUACGUUCAGAAAGUUAGGUAGAACUACUGAGGAUCUCAUGAAGACGAACAUGGUGCUUAAAGACUUUGGUGGCAACCCAUCGGAAACAAAGGGUGUUCUGAAUGUAGAAUUGACAGUCGGCAGUAAAACUAUCCCUACCACAUUUUUUGUCAUCGAUGGGAAAGGUUCUUAUAGCUUGUUGCUUGGAAGGGAUUGGAUUCAUGCCAAUUGUUGUAUUCCUUCGACCAUGCACCAAUGCUUGAUUCAAUGGCAAGGCGACAAGGUUGAGAUUGUGCCAGCCGACAGGUCAGUUAAUGUUGCUAGUGCCGAUCUAGCUCUUUGGGAGAUGGAUGGCCUUGAUUGUUUAUCCGGGAAGAUUUGGGUUGGAGAUUUUCUAAAAGUGUCCGAUUCUGAUAUACAGCCGAUUGAAGAUGAAGAACCCAAGCUAUUAUUUUGAGGGCGUCGUGGAGGGUUCAAGCAUCUACGCCAAGGACACGGUAGAUGAUCUCGAUGACAAGCAAGGUCAGGGUUUUAUGUCGGCCGAUGAUUUAGACGAAGUGGAUAUAGGUCCAGGUGAUCGACCAAGGCCGACAUUCAUUAGUAAGAAUUUGUCUUCAGAAUUUAGAACCAAGCUGAUGGAGCUUUUGAAAGAGUUUAGAGAUUGCUUUGCUUGGGAGUAUUAUGAGAUGCCAGGACUCAGCCGAUCGAUCGUCGAGCAUCGAUUACCUUUAAAACCAGGGAUUAGACCACACCAGCAGCCUCCGAGGAGAUGCAAAGCCGAUAUGCUUGAACCUGUCAAGGCUGAAAUCAAACGUUUGUAUGAUGCUGGUUUUAUUCAUCCUUGCCGGUAUGCUGAAUGGGUUUCUAGUAUAGUUCCUGUUAUCAAGAAAAAUGGUAAGGUGAGGGUCUGCAUUGAUUUCAGGGAUUUGAAUAAAGCUACCCCGAAGGAUGAAUAUCCGAUGCCAGUGGCCGAUCAGUUGGUUGAUGCUGCUUCAGGACAUAAGAUACUAAGUUUUAUGGAUGGGAACGCGGGGUAUAAUCAAAUCUUUAUGACCGAAGAAGAUAUCCAUAAGACGGUCUUCAGAUGUCCUGGUGCAAUCGGCUUGUUCGAAUGGGUUGUAAUGACUUUCGGCUUAAAGAGCGCUGGAGCUACGUACCAGAGGGCUAUGAAUUAUAUAUAUCAUGAUCUGAUCGGAUGGUUGGUUGAGGUCUAUAUUGAUGAUGUGGUUGUUAAAUCCAGAGAAAUCGAGGACCACAUAGCCGACUUGAGAAAAGUUUUCGAGAGGACUAGGAAAUAUGGUCUGAAGAUGAAUCCGACAAAAUGUGCUUUUGGUGUAUCGGCUGGCCAGUUCUUGGGAUUUCUUGUUCAUGAGAGGGGGAUUGAAAUACCUCAGAGGAGUAUCAAUGCGAUCAAAAAGAUUAAGCCUCCGGGAAACAAGACAGAGUUGCAGGAGAUGAUCGGCAAAAUUAAUUUUGUUCGAAGGUUUAUUUCUAAUUUGUCUGGAAAACUGGAACCUUUUACACCAUUGUUAAGAUUGAGAGCCGAUCAGCAAUUCACUUGGGGGGCAGAACAACAGAAAGCUUUGGAUAAUAUUAAAGAAUAUUUAAGUUCUCCUCCAGUAUUGAUUCCUCCACAAAAAGGGAUUCCUUUCUGGUUAUAUUUGUCGGCCGGUGAUAAGUCAAUCGGCUCGGUCUUGAUUCAGGAGCUUGAAGGAAAAGAGAGGGUUGUGUUUUAUUUAAGCCGUCGGCUCUUGGAUGCAGAAACAAGGUAUUCUCCUGUGGAGAAAUUAUGUUUGUGUUUAUAUUUCUCUUGCACUAAGUUGAGGCAUUACUUGUUGUCCAAUGAAUGCACUGUGGUGUGUAAAGCCGAUGUGAUUAAGUACAUGUUAUCGGCUCCGAUUUUAAAAGUGAGAGUUGGCAAGUGGAUAUUUUCUUUAACGGAGUUUGAUCUUCGGCACGAAUCACCAAAGGCGAUUAAGGGACAGGCUGUAGCCGAUUUUAUUGUGGGUCAUCGUGAUGGUUCAAUCGGUUUGGUUGACAUUAUGCCUUGGGUAUUAUUCUUUGAUGGAUCUGUAUGCAGUCAUGGUUAUGGUAUCGGCUUGGUUAUAAUUGCGCCUUGGGGGGCAAGUUUUGAAUUUGCCUAUGCUAUUACACACCAUGUGACUAAUAAUCAGGCUGAGUAUGAGGCGGUUUUAAAAGGGUUACAGUUGCUUCAGGAAGUUGCAGCCGAUGCUAUUGAAAUCAUGGGUGAUUCGUUGUUGGUGAUUAGUCAAUUGGCAGGAGAGUAUGAAUGCAAGGAUGAUACAUUGAUGGUUUAUUACGAAAAGUGUCGAACGUUGAUAAGUGAAUUUCGGCUGGUGACUCUGAGGCAUAUAUCUCGAGAACAGAAUAUAGAGGCUAAUGAUUUGUCUCAAGGAGCGUCGGGAUAUAAGCCAAUGACAAAAGAUAUCGAGAUAGAGAUUGCUACAAUUACAGCCGAUGAUUGGAGAUAUGAUGUGUUUCAGUAUUUACAGAAUCCAUCUCAAUCGGCUUUACGGAAAUUGCGUUAUAAGGCUUUGAAAUAUACUUUAUUGGAUGAUGACCUCUAUUAUCGGACGAUUGAUGGGGUGUUGCUUAAAUGUUUGAGUGCCGAUCAGGCAAAAGUUGCAAUCGGUGAAAUUCAUGAAGGGAUAUGUGGUACACAUCAGUCGGCUCAUAAAAUGAAGUGGUUGCUCCGACGUGCUGGAUAUUUUUGGCCAACAAUGCUGGAGGAUUGUUUCAGAUAUUAUAAAGGUUGUCAAGAUUGUCAGAAAUUUGGAGCGAUCCAAAGGGCGCCGGCAUCGGCUAUGAAUCCUAUUAUUCAACCGUGGCCUUUUAGAGGUUGGGGAAUUGAUAUGAUCGGUAUGAGAUGAUAAAAGUAUCUUACUGGUGGAGCUGGUUUAAGGGUCGAAGUAGCCGAUCUCUUCCUCACAGCGAUUUUCUUUCUCUAUGUUUAUUAAAAUUGUGAGGAAUCGGCUAUAAAGUAAAUGACUGCAAAAGUGGACGGAGAAAGUUGCUUACCUUUGCCAAUUGAGCUGAAGCAGAAGGGGAUGGAUGAGCCUGCUUAGGUGAAGCCGAUGGUGUUCUUUCAGUAUCGCUUAUUUCGGCUGCAGCCUGGUCGAUGUCUUCCUCGAUUUCUUCUUCAUCCAAAGCCUGUUCAAUGGAUGGAUCUAGGGCGGGCAGAUCGUCAGCUGACUUAGCUUUCUUUGUUUUAGUUUUUUUCUUCGGAACCGGGGCUGAAGUAUCUGCAGCCGAUGAUCUGGUUCUCCGCUUCUUGCUGACAUCAGCUGGUUCUCUGAUGAGCCCUUGAAGAAGUGCUGAAGACUUGGGGGCAUUUAAGCCGAUGGUAGAAGGAGAUGGCCCACCUCCAUUUGGAAUUAGACCCGGAGCAUACUUAAUGACCUUGUCGCUAUUGCUCUGGCGAGGAGGAGAAGAUUCUGUUGUCUGCAAAACAGAAGAAAAGUUAGUCAAGGUUUAAAUCGGCUGAGUGAUUAUUCAAGUAAGAUUGAAGAAAUGAAGAUUAACCUGAGGGAUAGCAUCAGGGAAUAAGUCUAUCAUGUACAUGGAAGCCGAUUGAUGGAACAGAUGCAGCUUCCAUUCACCGCACCAUCUGUCAAACGCCCUACUCCUGAACCUUGCCAGCUUUAUGUUCUCGAUGCUGCCCAACGGAGGUCCAGGGAUGUUCAACAGCCGAUCCAUCAUUAAAGUUGAGGAGAUGUCACCUCUGCAUUGGAUCUUGUCGGCAAAGUACAGGCCGAUUGGCAAUUGUCCUAUUCCAAGUUGUCUGGCCGAUGACAUCGGAUGAUAAAACUCAUAGGAGACUUGGAUAUUUCUCCCUUGAUGGAUGCCGACUGGGAGGAUACAUGGGUUGAUAGCAGUAGUAAAGAUUUCUCUGGAUUGCUGAAAUUUUUCAUGAUUAAUAUCCUCGAACCUGAAAUCGGCUGGCAGUUCGAAAUCCAUUGAGUCAGCAUAGAAAAACCAAACUCGGGCAUCUUUUUGGAAUCCAUCAUAAAAGCUGAAGAACCAGUCCUUCAGAAGUUCAGCCGAUAACUUUGCUCCUGCAUCGGCUGGUGUAGAUGCAUAUUCUCCGUAUGACAUACAUCUGCGAUGGGUGCGUUCUUCUCCAUCAUCUUCCACAAUCGGCUCCAACCUUGGAAAUUCAGCUUCUGUCACAGAUGGCCGAUUGACAACUUUCAUGACUACCAGGUUCAGCCAGGAUUGCAAGAGCCACCAUGGUCCACCUGCUCCAACCACUGAGCCGAUAAUUAUCUUGGCCAAUGCGUUGUUUAAUAUCUGGUAAAGAUAGCCGAGAAGGAUUUUGCCUAAGGGAAAUUGUUUCUUCGUUGCUAGGGCCUCGGCUAUGAAUUGCCAGUUGGUUGUAGGACCGCAGCUUGAUCCGCAGAAAAGGAAUUUUUCCAACCACAUCAGCAAAAAAGCUACGUGUUCUCUAGGAGUGACUGGCCCUUUGCCCAUAUAUGCUGUGAUAUAUCCUGACCAACCCCCAAUGCUCUUAGUUUUGAACUCAAAAGUGCUCUUGGUGUUCAGGUUCAUGGGGUUAGCUGAUGAGGUUACAUCUAGGCUAGUGAGCAUGAUAAUAUCCAGCAGCGUUGGGGUCAUCGGCCCUUGGUUGAAAAGAAAAGCAUUGAGAGUGUUGGACCAGAAAUAAGUUGCAGCAGCCAUCGGGGGUUCAUCUUUGGCCGAAUUUGCUAUUGUGAGGGCUAGGGCUUGGCUGAUUCCGAUCUCAUCCCAAUGGGCUUGUUUGCUAGCCGAUAUCCGCGUAUACCAUGCGGGCCAGCUUUUCUCCAGAGAAGGCCAGGAUUUGAAGGUGUUUUUCCAAUGGCUUGUGUUUGGAUUGGCCGACCUAAAAGGGGUUCUGUUGGUUUCGGCUAUGAUAAACUCAGUGGUGUCUAGAUUGCCGAUUGGACUGAGAAAGUAUUGUUGGUCAUGCAACAGACUGGGAACCGCAACAAGAUUGGAAAGAUGCUACAUGAAUAGAGAAGAAGAAAACAAGAUAAGGUGAGCGAAAACUGGUCUGAUGAACGCAAAAGGGGAUCUAGCCGAUGGGGACUUACCUCAGCAUAUUCGGCUGAUGGUGCGGUGGUCGGAUUGGUGGAGGUCGACAUCGCCGCGGGUGAAGAUCUGGCUGGGAGUGGAAUUGCCUGGAAAUCGCCCUGCGCGUCGAGUAGGUUGCCGGAGAGAGAGAGGACGGGAUCUGUUUAAGCGGUGAAGAUGGAAAUCACGGUGUGAAGAUUUUUGGGGGCAACGGUUAGUAUUUAAAGUAGAGCGAUAACGGUCGGGAAGACAACAAGUGCGAGUUUCUUUCAGAGUCGGUAUAUGGCAAAUCCGAAACAUUAUCCAAUAUACCGGACUUGGGGGGCAUGUGUUAACGACCAAAUUUGGUAAAUUCUAUCACUAUUGGCGUCGAAGGUGAAAAUCAGAUCGAGGUGGAAUCCAAGAUGAAGAUCGUUGCGGAAACAGAGUAAGAAUCGCCUGCAGUCCAAAUCGGCUAAGGUCAGGUCGGCAGAGUUCGAGUCGGACGGGGCUAGCCGAUACAGCCGAUUCCGAUAAUAUGACUCGGCGUAUGUCGUCGGGUUCAAGUUGAUGUGCUUCAAAGAUGAUUGCCACGCAUGGAUAGAGUCCUGGAAAGGCAAUUGUAUCUAUUAAUUAGGAUAUUUUGUGUAAUUUCCUUAGAGAUAUGUGUAGCGCCCGUUCCGUCGUGGCGCCUAGCGGGAAAAUUAUCUCUUAAAAACCCUAAUUGCGAAAUUUGUUUCUUUGCUUGCUGUCUAGUGUCCGUGCCAUCUCAGAUCUCAAUCCCCGAUCUAUCGUCGAGUCCAAUUCCGAAUCCAAAUCCUUCCAAAUCAAAUCCCUCCGCAGAAGUCUAUUUUGCCUCCCCCGGGGUCGAUGGGCCGAUUUUCUCUCGGCCCAUCUCCCCCUCUCCCCCGGCCCAUCUUCCCCCUCCCUCCCCGGCGCGCUCCUCUCUUCCUCUCCCUCCGCUCCGCUCCGCCUGCCCGCGCGCGUGUGCGAGCGCCGCCCGAGCCCCCUCCUCCGCUCUGCCCGCGCGUGCGUGACGCGCCCACGCCGAGCCGAGCCCUCUUUUCCGCCCCUUCGCUGCCGCUCCCCGCGCGCCGUUGUUCGCGCGCGCGCCCGCGUGGUCCUCGCCCGCGUCGCGCCUGCAGCCGCCCAGGCCCCGCUGCCCUGCCGCGCCUGCAGCCGCGCAGCCGCUUGGCCCCGCGCGCCAGCGCGCGUGCCCGAGCCGCGCCAACUCCAUCCGCCGCGCCUCCCGUUGCAAGCCGCGCGCGCGUGCCGUGGUGGCCGACCGCCCGGUCGCCGCCGCCGUCAGCCUCUGCACGCGCCUGUCGCCAGUGUCGCCGCUCCGCUCCAAACCGCCCCGCCAUCAUCGCCGUCGUCACCGCCCAGCCCCCGCCACUCCGCAUGCAAGCCGCCAAGGGACGGAGGCAGCGCCCCUCCUCCCUCUGCGCGCUCGCUCCCGCUCUCCUCUCCUUUUUCCCGAAUCGGCAAAGGGGCAAGCCCCCUUUCUCCCCCUCCUUUUCCCCUUUUCCUCCUCGCCGGCGUCAUCCUCCCUGUCGCCGCUUUGGCCACGACCGCCGAGCGCCAGCUCGCGCCCUUGACCGCGCAAGUCGGUUCCCAAACCGACAUUGCCGCCCCUUUAAACCCCCAGCCUCCCCUUUCCCUUCCUCUUCCAUUCGUCUCCGCUCCAUUGCCGCCGCCCCCGUGCUCUGUCUCGCCUCCGCCGUCCUUCGCCGAGCGCCGGGAGAGCCGGUGCGUUCGAGGACGCGGAAGGGGACUCCGGGCGUGCCCUCGCUUCUUCCUCUUCCUCGGCCCGAGGCCGGAGAGAUUACUCCCGCGCCGUCGGCCUCUCGUCACAGCGCCCCUCCUCUUCUCGGUGAUGCCUCUCUCCGUUCUUCCUCCUCGCUCCAUCUCCCCCCUAGCUUUCGGUAGUAGCUUGAGUAGCCUCCCCGUAGUUAGCCGGCGCCGCCCCGACCGUUGCCGUCGCUCGCCGUGUGCUCGCCGCCGUCGCCGCCCGAGCUCCGUAGCCCCCGCUCGUCGCCAGCCUCGCUCGGCGUAGUUCCGCCCAAUCCGACGCUAGCGUCGAGUUCCCGAAGCCGCGUGGAUGCUCUCACCGCCGGGAAUCGACCCCUCGUGGCCUCGUCGCCGUUUCCCUCUUCUCCCGCCGCCGGUUGCCGCCGCCGCAAUCCGCCGCCGUCGAGCAACCUCCGGCGAAUCCGAGCCGUUGGCUCGUCUCCCCUUGUCACGUACAACCACCCGGUGUGCUCGCUUUUGCCCGUAUCGCCGUGGUUCACUCCGCCGCUCGCCGUCGCCGCCCGCCGUCCAAUCGCGGCCGGGUCGUCGUCUACCUCCCGCCGGCCCGCGAGGCAGCCACGUAGGCGCCACGUCGGCGCCAGCUCAGCCUAGACCGGGUCGAGCCGACCCCGGUCAGCCCCUCCCCUUGCGCGCGUUCCACCGCGAGCCGAGAGGCUGCGCGUGGGCCCGCCGCACCCGCGUCCACCGCAAACCGCGCGCGUGCACCGCGUCCAUCCCGCGCCCGCGCGCGUGCGCAGCAUGCUCCCUCCGCACGGUGAGCCGAGCCGCUGACAAGCGGGUCCCACCCGGGACCGCGCGUGGUGAGCCCUGUCCACCGGCCCUCACUCUCUCCUCCCCCCCCCCGCGCGCGCUCUGGGCCGCCUUUUGGGCCGGCCGGCCCAUUAAGCUCAGCCGAGCCGCCCCAAAUCUCUUGGGCCGCACCCUAGCCGCCCGAGAAAAGUCUAUAUUCCCUCCCCCUUUUUUUUUCUUUUCUUUUUCUUUUCCAAAAAGGAUUUAAUUAAAUCCUUUUCCUUUAGACCAAAAAUCCAAUAAUCUUAGAAAUACAAUAUCUUCCCAACCGUAAGUCCGUUUGACUCCGUUCAACUCCCAAAAUUCCUCAAAUCUCGAGAUCUAUUUAAUGGCAUGCUUAGAGGUCAUUAAUAGGGCUUUAUUUUCGCCGUUUGUUGAGUUGUCCCGUUUCGCGUGUAGUUUCGGAGCCCGAAGACCCGCAGUGCGAGGAUUUCGAGGAUCAAGCUCCAGAUCUCGAGCAAGGCAAGCCACCUUUGAACAUCUUGAGCCUAUAUUUGAAAUCUAAUUAUAUUGCUUGAAAAAUAUUAUGCAUUGAUAGGAUCGCAUUUAAUCUGUUGUCCCGUCUGCAAGGCAGAUUGGCGGACUUACCUAACUUGUUGCAUUUGAUCCUUCCAUUGUUAAUUGCUACACCAUGUCCCCUUGUAACUACCCAGUUGCACCUCGAUAUUCGUGCACUCUGUGCGAGUAUCGACGGUCGCCUUCAAACUUAAAAUCUGAGUAACAACUUGGGUAAAACUUGGGUUUUACAAAAGAUUGGAAAACCCGACACCUGGGUCGGUGCUUGCGAACUAAAUGAAUUUCCAAAACCGCGGACCGGGGAACGUACCGGGUGUACGGUUUCCCGCUCUUGCACUUAAGGACCGUUUCCUUGGAAUUUCAUCCGAACAUAAGACAAGUACGACCACAUGGGUAGAAUGGGACACCCCUGGCUGAGUAACUAGCUUAUCAGGGGAGCCUUGAUGCCGAGAGACAUGUGGAUUCGCCGGGGUGGUGUCAGGGAGGACCCCUGGGCUUCCUGGCACAGUAUGGUCUGGGACCUAACCUGUUGUUGGUCUGGGACCCCUCUCGUCGGCAUAUGGUAAACCUGUGUCGGCUUUGGAAAUGCCUUGUCAUGAAAGCUUGGAGGUCUCCCGACGUGGCUGAUCCCCACGGGCUGGGUGAUCCGGGUUAGUAAUGUCGUGUGGGUAAAGUGUACCCCCUCUGCAGAGGUUAACAAACUGUUCGAAUAGUCGUGCCCACGGUCAUGGGCGGAUGUGAGGUGAUUCCUAGCGUAGUUUUGUUUGACUACUGCUUGUGAAAUUGCUGUUGAGAAAAGGGGUUCGAUGUUUGAAAAAUCUGUAGCUGAUGAGAUCAGCUAGGCCCGGGUGGCCGUUUGAAAAGUUGUUGGCCCAGGUGGCCGUUUGAAAAAGCUGUUGGCCGGGUGCCAACCUUGUUUCAAUUCUAAAGACUGAUACAUUGCACAUACUCCGACCGGACGAGACGCACUGUCUCAUCCGUGUCGUUUGAGAAGCACUCACUUAGUUGUUUUCAGAAAAUGGUUCAAAUAAAAUCAAUUGCUAAAACAACAGCCUUCCCUUGAAGCCUGCAAUAAACACCUUAUUUCCCCUGGCUUGCUGAGUACUCCCGUACUCACCCUUGCUCUAUAUAAAUAACCCCCCCCCAGUUGCUGAAGAAGAUGAAGCGGAUCCGGCUGAUGAAGAGUUCUUCCAAGAGCAACCCGGCUUCGAUGAGUUUUAGGGUUUCGGCCUAGUUCCCAAGUCGCGCCUGUGAUGAUUGGUCCAAGUCCUGACUUCCGCUUUCCUUUUGUAAUGCAGUUGUGAGCUCGGGAUCUGUCCGCAGCCCAACAUGACUGUACUUCUACUCUAUAAUAAAGAGACCUCUGUUGUUGUGAUAUUCUGUCUCCCUGUGAUACCAGCACUGUUUCCUGGGACUGGUAUCGAUUAACAGGUUAAUUUGGAGCGUCACGGGCUAGUUCCGGUCGGUACUAGUUUGGGGCGUGACAAUAUGUUUGGGCAAAAGUCUGCCGUAAAGACUUAUGGUAUCUUAGAGUUUGUUAGAGAUAAUAGUCGUGUCCGUUAUGGACGUAUCUUGUAAUUCUCAGAUAUAAGUAGACCCGAGCCCUAUGUAAAAAAAGGACUCAUCCAAUACAAUCUCAGCGCAUCGCCACCCUUUUUAUUCUAUAUGCUUGAUCUAUGUGUUAAAUCUGCCCUUUAUGUUAGGAUCUUGUCGCAUCUAGAUAUAUUAGACUUCUGUUUGGUAUAUUCUACUUGCUUUAACAUCUUAAUAUAGAGUGGUAUCGGAGUAUUAGCCGAUGCAUGCUAGAUACAUUUGAUCGGCUAUGAUAUAAAUGUAUCUAAUCCCACUAUUAAUAUAUAUUUCGAUCUAAAUGAUUUAUACUGUCUCGGCAAGGCGACCGAUCUAUCCCAAUCACUUGAUUUAAAUAUAUAUCGAUAUAAGGAUUAUAUAUCAUUAAUAUCUACAGCCGAUCGAGUAGAUUUAGUUAUGAUUUGCUUAUUGAUAUUUGCCGAUCGAUGUACGUAUGACAUCGGCUUGAAAUAAAUGAUAUGUCAUCGGCACCUAGCCGAUCGGCUAUCAUUUAUAGGAUUAAUUGCGGUUUUUUUGUUCUAUUUCUUAUUGAUUGCAGGAUCAAAUCAACUGGCACGCUCAUACACCUGAAGGCGAGUUUUGGACCUGCACUGGAGUUGAGCAGAUCUCCCAGGCCUCGUGUUUUC
rnacentral:lncRNA from 1 species